ACCAAAGUUUUAGCUUUAAGCCCCCGUUAUACACCUACCUAAAAUAGUUUAAACAAAUUGUACAUUUAAUCUGAGAAUGAAGUGUCCGUACGAGAAGAAUCAAACAUCUCAUAACCAGAUUUCCUACGCAUAACUAUGUAUGUUAAAUAAAUAUCAUUGGUUGUAGCAACUAACAAAAUCUCGUUGACAUAAUUAACUGUGACAAUUACGUGUAAGAAGACGAAACUAAAUUCAUCUAAACACAUCAAUAAUGGCAGGUACCUAGUUUGGAUGGGUACUAAAAUUGUUAAUUCAUUCAUAGGCCCUGAGCGGAAUGGCGAGUCAAAAAUCCGGAAUUUGCCCGAUGUGUAAAACGCAAAUUUGUUAUACGAUAUGCAGCAUGUGGGUGCAAUGUCAAAUGAAGGUCACCCAAGUGUACAGCGUUGCAAGGUUCUCCUUUUUGUGUCAGGUAUGAAAAGAUAAGAAAAAAUAUAUUUGUGUAUUCUAGGCCCUGGGAACUUGAUGUUAUUUACUGCAAUUUUGCUUUAACAGGUUUGAACGAUUAGUGGCAGUAAAAGUAUAAUAACACUAAAAUGGAUUGCAUUGAGAUUCACAUUAAUUAGGUACCUACUUUAUGUCGUAUAAAUGUCAUCAUUUUCAGUGCUAAUACAGCAAGUAAUUCGGA